rnacentral:misc_RNA from 1 species
CACCUGUCCUUCUUUAAUUAUAUCACCCUCUUUAAAGAUGGGAGGUUGCCUUUUUCCUUUCACUGUUCUGUUUCUUCGGAAUGAGCCAACCGUCGGAGAAGCAACUAGAACAUAUCCAGUAGCUCCAGACGCCUCUAAGGCAGCUAAUUUGGAUGACUUCCCAAAUGAGACAUUUGUAAAAGGAGUGGUUUUUUCAGUAGAGGUUUUGGGUGGUGAUGGUGGGGCAACAGAAGCUGAUAUAUCCAUUGGCUUAGUUGGGAUCGGUGGUGGUUCUGUAGGUGAAAUGUUGGACAUGGGAGCUUUUGUAGCCCCAACAUUGCGGCGCAAAUGCAUUUCAAAAUCCCCAACCUUGAGUUUCAGUUCAGCAACCUCCGUCUCAUCACAGACCUCGAGUACCAAUGCUUCAAAUCCAUUAGGAAAAGUAGCACUUCGCGAAGAAUUCUUCUCCAACGCACCAGCAUCAGAUUUGGCCGUUGCAGCAGCAGCUUCAGGCGCCCUUACACACGAGACGACGGAUACAUUUCGCUUCACCGGAUAAGAAAUGAAUUUCCGGCAAACAGUCAAGCGCUGGCCGUACA